rnacentral:lncRNA from 1 species
AUAGGGUUUGAGAGACUGCAUUUCACAUGUGUUUGACUCUAUCAAAUCUCAAUGCACGGUAUCUAAUACAUGUAAAAUAAGACACAGAAAGGAUUGAAAGGAAGUGUAUUUCAACAAAAGCUCCAACAAGCAAAUUUGUCUUAACAAAAGGCAGAGAUUUGUGCUGACUACAGGACAGACACUAAUACGGUAUAGCUAGUAUUGCACCUAGCAGCAGAUCACCUUCCCCG